UAAACGGCGGCCGUAACUAUAACGGUCCUAAGGUAGCGAAAUUCCUUGUCGGGUAAGUUCCGACCUGCACGAAUGGUGUAACGAUCUGGGCGCUGUCUCGACCAUGGACUCGGCGAAAUUGUAGUCUCAGUGAAGAUACUGAGUACCCGCGAUAGGACGGAAAGACCCCGUGCACCUUUACUAUACCCUGAUAUUGAGUCCUAGCUCUGCAUGUGUAGGAUAGGUGGGAGGCGUUGAUCCAUGACCGCUAGGUCAUGGGGAGCCAACCUUGAAAUACCACCCUUGCUUUGUUGGGAUUCUAACUUCGAGCCGUGAAGCCGGCCGAAGAACAGUGUCAGGCGGGUAGUUUGACUGGGGCGGUCGCCUCCAAAAAGGUAACGGAGGCGCCCAAAGGUUCCCUCAGCACGGUCGGUAAUCGUGCGUAGAGUGUAAAGGCACAAGGGAGCUUAACUGCGAGACAGACACGUCGAGCAGGUGGGAAACCAGGGCUUAGUGAUCCGGCGGUAGAGGAUGGAAUUGCCGUCGCUCACCGGAUAAAAGGUACGCCGGGGAUAACAGGCUGAUCUCCCCCAAGAGUUCACAUCGACGGGGAGGUUUGGCACCUCGAUGUCGGCUCGUCGCAUCCUGGGGCUGAAGGAGGUCCCAAGGGUUUGGCUGUUCGCCAAUUAAAGCGGCACGCGAGCUGGGUUUAAAACGUCGUGAGACAGUUUGGUCCCUAUCCAUCGUGGGCGCAGGUGCCUUGAGAAGAUCUGUUCUCAGUACGAGAGGACCGGAAUGGACGAACCUCUAGUGUACCAGUUGUCACGCCAGUGGCACGGCUGGGUAGCUACGUUCGGAAGGGAUAAGCGCUGAAAGCAUCUAAGCGCGAAACCCACUUCAAGAUAAGGGCACCCACUCGCAAGAGUCUAAAGGCCCCUCGUAGACUACGAGGUUGAUAGGUCACAGGUGUAAAGCCGGUAACGGCAAAGCCGAGUGAUACUAAUAGGCCGUGCGACUUGGCCAUAAAU
rnacentral:rRNA from 1 species